rnacentral:sRNA from 1 species
AAAACAGAACGGAAAACAA